rnacentral:rRNA from 1 species
GGGGAAUCUUCCGCAAUGGACGAAAGUCUGACGGAGCAACGCCGCGUGAGUGAUGACGGCCUUCGGGUUGUAAAGCUCUGUGAUCGGGGACGAAUGGCUGGUGCGUUAAUACCGCAUCAGAGUGACGGUACCCGAAUAGCAAGCCACGGCUAACUACGUGCCAGCAGCCGCGGUAAUACGUAGGUGGCAAGCGUUGUCCGGAAUUAUUGGGCGUAAAGCGCGCGCAGGCGGCUUCUUAAGUCCAUCUUAAAAGUGCGGGGCUUAACCCCGUGAUGGGAUGGAAACUGGGAGGCUGGAGUAUCGGAGAGGAAAGUGGAAUUCCUAGUGUAGCGGUGAAAUGCGUAGAGAUUAGGAAGAACACCGGUGGCGAAGGCGGCCUUCUGGGCCACGACUGACGCUGAGGCGCGAAAGCUAGGGGAGCGAACA